GAGCCUGGAGGAAGACUUGUAUUGGGACCCUACAGGCCCCAGGCCAGUGUCUGUCAGCCUGGUGCUCAUCCCCCAGUGCGCUGAAGCUCAGACCCUCCCUGGCACCCUGGUCUCCUGCACUGAGCUGUGAUGGUGAGUCUGGAGGAAGACUUGUGUUGGACCCCCACAGGCCCCAGGCCAGUGUCCAUCAGCCUGGUGCUAAUCCCCCAGUGCUCUGGAGUUUGGACCCUCCCUGGCACCC
rnacentral:lncRNA from 1 species